rnacentral:rRNA from 1 species
UACAGAGGUCUCAAGCGUUGUUCGGAUUCAUUGGGCGUAAAGGGUGCGUAGGCGGCGCGGUAAGUCGGGUGUGAAAUCUCGGGGCUUAACUCCGAAACUGCAUUCGAUACUGCCGUGCUUGAGGACUGAGAGAGGAGAGUGAAUUCAUGGUGUAGCAGUGAAAUGCGUAGAGAUCAUGAGGAAGACCAGUGGCGAAGGCGGGUCUCUGGACAGUUCCUGACACUGAGACACGAAGGCCAGGGGAGCAAACGGG